GAUGAACGCUGGCGGCGUGCCUAAUACAUGCAAGUCGAGCGAACAGACGAGGAGCUUGCUCCUCUGACGUUAGCGGCGGACGGGUGAGUAACACGUGGAUAAUCUACCUAUAAGACUGGGAUAACUUCGGGAAACCGGAGCUAAUACCGGAUAAUAUAUUGAACCGCAUGGUUCAAUAGUGAAAGACGGUUUUGCUGUCACUUAUAGAUGGAUCCGCGCCGCAUUAGCUAGUUGGUAAGGUAACGGCUUACCAAGGCAACGAUGCGUAGCCGACCUGAGAGGGUGAUCGGCCACACUGGAACUGAGACACGGUCCAGACUCCUACGGGAGGCAGCAGUAGGGAAUCUUCCGCAAUGGGCGAAAGCCUGACGGAGCAACGCCGCGUGAGUGAUGAAGGUCUUCGGAUCGUAAAACUCUGUUAUUAGGGAAGAACAAAUGUGUAAGUAACUAUGCACGUCUUGACGGUACCUAAUCAGAAAGCCACGGCUAACUACGUG
rnacentral:rRNA from 1 species